rnacentral:sRNA from 1 species
UCAAGUACCUUGUGAGCUGAUGAACACUGCCUCCACGGAUUGGGGUUUUCGAAGAUUCUUUCGUAAUCGAAGCUUCGAAUUCAGCCACCAUUGAAUUAAUCUCUUCACCGAGAUUGUUGAGAGAAUCAGCAGCUUGUAGUCGAACCGCAGUAGUCGAAUCAUAACUAAAAAUCUCUUCGAUUUGAGGCAUAAGCUGCGAUAUCGUUUGGUAAAUGUCGAGAGUAAGGAAGAUUUUCUCGACGGUUUUCUUACAUCGAGCUACACUCACGGGGAAGAUAAAGAGUGUUAAAGCACUAUCUAACGUGAUCUCCGUGAAACAAGACUCCGCGACAGAGACUGAAGGCGAGAAAACGUGAUCGCUAAGGAUUCUUUCUCCCUCGAACAAGUUUGUGAUUAGGACUUUCGUAGCUUCUAACCAUUUCUUGAUGUUCUUCUCCAUACUAUCCCAAUCCAAUUUUUGAAUCUUGCCAAAACUUAGAUUCUCAAACCCUAAGUUACUCAACGCU